ACAGCACUGGGCAUGUGCAAGAAGCCAGUGCCAAAGUAUUUGCUUCUAUGUGUGAGAGGCAGCAAGUCCUUGCUGGGUAACGAUGUCGUCUGGGCUUAGAGGCCACACAUGAUUAUGGUACAAGAAGUGGGUAUUUUCAAGAAAUAUUACA